GGACAGGAAGCUCUGAUUCGUGCUUCAACAGAGAAGCCUGGAAAUCCACAGAUAACAAGCCGCUCACUGUGCUAUCAGGGCAGUCAGAUCAGGUUUGGCAGAACCAUCUCGGUCUGUGCUUCCACCAAAACCGAAUCAGGAUGUAUCAGCAGCAAAAAACAAGCUUCUGCAGUUCAUGUGCUGGAUUUCUCAACCAUCAACCCUGCGGAAGAAAUGAAACGCAUUGUUCCUGUUAUCAUCUGCAACACGGGGAAGAGGAAACUAUAAUACUGUCUGAUGAUGACAAUUCUCAAUAUACAGGAGAUGUUGCACAAGAAUAUGGGAUACAGCAUCCUAAUGAAAUAGACUUUGGAAUCUUCAGCGAAGAGGCAGCGGGAGUCCAUGUACACGCCGCAGCAGACAGAUAUCUUAACACUUCCGAUGGAUUGACUGGUCAGAUGAUCUCAAGAUGGCAGAAUUCAGGCAGCCAGAUUACAGACGAUUGUGGCUGUUUUUGCAGGCAAACACCGUGUUGUGAAGCAGCUGGGGUGAUAGAUCACUGGACCUGCUCCCCUGGUCAUCCUUGGCAUGUGAAGAACGCACAGUUGGUGGGGGUUGAAGUUGACAUAGUUGAAGAACUGGAACUGGAAGACACAGUGGUACUUCAUGAGGCCGUCAUGCCAGUGAAUGGUUUGACGGAGGCCACAAUGACACAUGAGGACCAGUUUUUCUUUCAAUAGAUUUAUAGCAUUUUGUUCUUAUGUAUAAUAAUCAACUUUAUAUAUAGGUUUAUUUACAAAUAUUAUGUUGGAAUAUGUUGGAAAUAAAUAUUAGCAUUUAAAAUAUAUAAACAAUAUCUCAAAUGCAAUGUGUCUUUUGUAAGUAAAGAUUGUUAAAGUAUAAAUAAUAUACUGUAAAAAGUUAUGCAGGCCAUUAAAAAAAUACAGCAUGCCUAGAGAGAUAGAAGUACAUCUAACAGAAUUAAAAACACACCAGCUCUGCAUCUUUCUGGGUUGUGAAUGGGGUCUUGAUGAAUCUUUAGCUUUAGUUGCUUUCAUUGCAUUUCAAACUCUGUUCAUCAAGUGAAAGUGAAGUGAUUGUGAUUGUACUAAACUGCAACACAGCGCACGGAGACACAACAAAAUGUGCACCUUGGUGGAUCGGGAUUCAAACCAGCAACCUUCUGAUUAUGGGGCCACUUCCUUUACUGCUGGGCCACCACUGCCCUGUAGUUUACAAAUCAGUACAAUACUGAGCAUAUACA
ensembl:lncRNA